rnacentral:rRNA from 1 species
GUCCACGCCGUAAACGAUGAUAACUAGCUGUCCGGGUUCAUGGAACUUGGGUGGCGCAGCUAACGCAUUAAGUUAUCCGCCUGGGGAGUACGGUCGCAAGAUUAAAACUCAAAGGAAUUGACGGGGGCCUGCACAAGCUGUGGAGCAUGUGGUUUAAUUCGAAGCAACGCGCAGAACCUUACCAGCGUUUGACAUGGCUAGUAUGAUUUCCAGAGAUGGAUUUCUUCAGUUCGGCUGGCUAGCACACAGGUGCUGCAUGGCUGUCGUCAGCUCGUGUCGUGAGAUGUUGGGUUAAGUCCCGCAACGAGCGCAACCCUCGUCUUUAGUUGCCAUCAUUCAGUUGGACACUCUAAAGAAACCGCCGGUGAUAAGCCGGAGGAAGGUGGGGAUGACGUCAAGUCCUCAUGGCCCUUACACGCUGGGCUACACACGUGCUACAAUGGCGGUGACAGUGAGCAGCUAGAUCGCGAGAUCAUGCUAAUCUCAAAAAGCCGUCUCAGUUCGGAUUGUUCUCUGCAACUCGAGAGCAUGAAGGCGGAAUUGCUAGUAAUCGUGGAUCAGCAUGCCGCGGUGAAUACGUUCGCAGG